AGUGAACGCUGGCGGCAGGCCUAAUACAUGCAAGUCGAACGGCAGCACAGUGGAGCUUGCUCCAUGGGUGGCGAGUGGCGGACGGGUGAGGAAUACAUGGGAAUCUGCCCAGUCGUGGGGGAUAACGUAGGGAAACUUACGCUAAUACCGCAUGCGCCCUUCGGGGGAAAGCCGGGGACCUUCGGGCCUGGCGCGAUUGGAUGAGCCCAUGUUCGAUUAGCUAGUUGGCGGGGUAAAGGCCCACCAAGGCGACGAUCGAUAGCUGGUCUGAGAGGAUGAUCAGCCACACUGGAACUGAGACACGGCCCAGACUCCUACGGGAGGUAGCAGUAGGGAAUAGUGGACAAUGGGCGCAAGCCUGAUCCAGCCAUGCCGCGUGAGUGAAGAAGGCCCUCGGGUUGUAAAGCUCUUUUGUCCGGGAAGAAAAGCAUCGGGCUAAUACCUCGGUGUUCUGACGGUACCGGAAGAAUAAGCACCGGCUAACUUCGUG
rnacentral:rRNA from 1 species